GCCUACGGGGGGCAGCAGUGAGGAAUAUUGGUCAAUGGGCGGGAGCCUGAACCAGCCAAGUCGCGUGAGGGAUGACGGCCCUAUGGGUUGUAAACCUCUUUUGCCGGGGAGCAAAGUGCCGCACGUGUGCGGUUUGGAGAGUACCCGGAGAAAAAGCAUCGGCUAACUCCGUGCCAGCAGCCGCGGUAAUACGGAGGAUGCGAGCGUUAUCCGGAUUUAUUGGGUUUAAAGGGUGCGCAGGCGGCGUGUCAAGCAAGCGGUAAAAUAGCGGGGCUCAACCCCGUCGAGCCGUUUGAACUGGCGCG
rnacentral:rRNA from 1 species